AUGUAUACCGAUUGCAUGAUUCAUUAUUUUUGGCAAAAAAAUUAAAAUUAUACAAAGGAUCUUAAAGCAGCACAAGAUAUUUGUUUUCUUCGUUUGAAAAUGUUUUUGCAUGGAGCUGAGCUCACAUGUUCUUAAAGCAGGCUUUUGGUGUCCAUUCAUUUACAGUCUCUAGAGAUCCAGAAAGUUAAUUGUGUUCAGUGCAGGGCAUAGUAUUUUGCUAUUUAAAUGUCACUGUGCAUGCAUGGACUAAUGCAAAAGGGGUUUUCUUCGGUUUGGGAUGCUCGGCUGCUGCAUUAAUGCGAUGUGUUGAAUCUCCAAGUUCGUCUAAAGUCUUGAACAUGGAUGAAUGCGUGCAUGGACAGGGCAGAGAGGUUCACUGCAGUUUUCGACUGCCACAUUCAAGGCCUGAGUUGAAUCGAAGUCUCCAACAUGGAGUCCAGUCUCUGGUGAAACACAGCAGACCUGUUCAGGCGAGCUUCUGUACAAUUUGCGAUAGAUUUGGGUGGAGGUUUUUGUACAUUGGAUUUUCCAUCAUUGACAUUGUACUGCACCUUUUCAAUCUAUAUGGAUGGCCAUAUUAAACAAUUCAUUUAUCAAAA